rnacentral:rRNA from 1 species
GACGAACGCUGGCGGCGUGCCUAAUACAUGCAAGUCGAACGGAAAGGCCCUGCUUUUGUGGGGCUCUCGAUUGCCGAACGGGUGAGUAACACGUGAGUAACCUGCCCCUGACUUUGGGAUAACUUCACGAAACUGGGGCUAAUACCGGAUAGGAGCUCCUGCUGCAUGGUGGGGGUUGGAAAGUUUCGGCGGUUGGGGAUGGACUCGCGGCUUAUCAGCUUGUUGGGCGGGUAGUGGCUUACCAAGGCUUUGACGGGUAGCCGGCCUGAGAGGGUAACCAGGGUCAUUGCGCCUGAGGUACGGACCAGUCGCCUACGGGAGGCAGCGGUGGGGAAUAUUACACAAUGGGCGGAAGCCAGAUGCAGCAACGCCGCGUGCGGGAUGAUGGCCUUCGAGUUAUAAACCGCUUUCGACUGUGACGAAGACUGAGUGACGGUAAUGGGUAAGGAAGCAACGGCUAACUACGUG